rnacentral:rRNA from 1 species
UGGGGAAUAUUGGACAAUGGGCGAAAGCCUGAUCCAGCCAUGCCGCGUGUGUGAAGAAGGUCUUCGGAUUGUAAAGCACUUUAAGUUGGGCGGAAGGGCAGUAAGCGAAUACCUUGCUGUUUUGACGUUACCGACAGAAUAAGCACCGGCUAACUCUGUGCCAGCAGCCGCGGUAAUACAGAGGGUGCAAGCGUUAAUCGGAAUUACUGGGCGUAAAGCGCGCGUAGGUGGUUCGUUAAGUUGAAUGUGAAAGCCCCGGGCUCAACCUGGGAACUGCAUCCAAAACGGGCAAGCUAGAGUAGGGCAGAGGGGGGUGGAAUUUCCUGUGUAGCGGUGAAAUGCGUAGAUAUAGGAAGGAACACCAGUGGCGAAGGCGACCAACUGGGCUCAUACUGACACUGAGGUGCGAAAGCGUGGGGAGCAAACAGG